UACGUAGGGUGCGAGCGUUGUCCGGAAUUACUGGGCGUAAAGGGCUCGUAGGCGGCCAACUAAGUCAGACGUGAAAUCCCUAGGCUCAACCUAGGAACUGCGUCUGAUACUGGAUGGCUUGAAUCCGGGAGAGGGAUGCAGAAUUCCAGGUGUAGCGGUGAAAUGCGUAGAUAUCUGGAGGAAUACCGGUGGCGAAGGCGGCAUCCUGGACCGGCAUUGACGCUGAGGAGCGAAAGCUAGGGGAGCAAACGGG
rnacentral:rRNA from 1 species